rnacentral:rRNA from 1 species
GACGAACGCUGGCGGCGUGCUUAACACAUGCAAGUCGAACGAAGUGGCGAACGGGUGAGUAAUACGUGGGUAACCUGCCCUCCUUUUUGGGAUAAGCCUUGGAAACGGGGUCUAAUACCGAAUAAAGGGGGAUGGGCUCGCGGCCUAUCAGCUUGUUGGGGGGGUGAUGGCCUACCAAGGCGGUGACGGGUAGCCGGACUGGGAGGGUGACCGGCCACAGUGUGACUGAGAUACGGCCCAGACUCCUACGGGAGGCAGAAGUGGGGGAUAUUGCACAAUGGGCGAAAGCCUGAUGCAGCGACGCCGCGUGGGGGAUGAAGGCUUUAGGGUUGUAAACCUCUGUGGCUAGCGAACGGGUAGGUGGAGAAGAAGCGCCGGCUAACUACGUGCCAGCAGCCGCGGUAAUUC